GCCCACGGCUCGCCGUCUUGCGCGCUCAGGCUCCUGGGCGAGUGACGCUUGCCAUGCGCAUGCGCCCGAUCGCACACAUUUGCCUAUGCAUGCGUGAGUCUGUGCGCCUAUCUUGCUUGAUGGCACACUCAUUCUUCUCUCGUUCUCUCCUGUGAUGGACGCUUCUUGUGAUGCGCGCACUUGCAGCUGUUGGCUGAGAACUCGAGGGCCUCCCCUGCGUCUGUCCGCCCUGUUGGCACUGCGCUCACCCUUCGCCGUCCCACCCCCCGUCCCAUUCUUUCUCUUCGAAGAACAAGGAGGGGGAAGAGAAAGGGCCACUCAAGUCUUCGCUGCCACUGCAGACACUCAGCCGCAGCCCUCUUCCCUCUCUCUGAAGUUCCAACUCUCCGCUUCAGCAUCAUCCGGCAUCUCCGGUGCACGACAACGCGCCCAGACCUGUUUAGGCUUGCCGCCUUUCCCGGCGCUCGCCGCUCAUCCCCAUUCUCGUGACGGCGACGACCGACGCUGCGCGGAAGGGUCAUGAGAAUGAUGAAGCCGUUGUGUUGUUCCCCAAGGCGCAUGCUGUCGGCGCUCGUGGGCUGUCAGCGUUCUUACGUGGUUGUCGGUGGUGCUGGUCGGUGCGCUGGCCACGGCGAUGGAGGUGAUUGCGUGCUACAUGAUGGAGGACCUGGACAAGCGCCCUCAUAGCGAUUUGGACCUGGUAACUAAGGCAGUCAUCGCAUGUGCGCUGUAUGCGGCGACUGUGGAUGCGGUGACGACAUCCUUUCUCUCCAGCAUCGCUGUCGAGGUGCCUUGAGCUGUGCGUGGUGUGCAGUGGCUCUCCCCGUCUCACCCAUCAUGCUGCCAAGUGUUUGCGUGCGCGCUUUUCCCUGCGCGGUCUCUUCCGGCCACGUACCUUUCCGUGGUUUCCGUGUACGACACCGUGCGGAGCGGAGAUGAAGACGUGCGUUUGUGCGUCUUGUGGCCCCUCACGCGUGCGUGCACCACUUGCUUCGGCGCCUUCCGUGCCGUGGGGAUCAUUUCUGGCAGGUGCGUUGUGCAACGCUGCGAAAGAGGGGAAGGCAGGCGCACACCUUUCGACCUCAUCGCCCACAUACACCUCUCCGCUCCACCCGACGCGGUAGUGCAGAGCUCGACGAAACGCAGCCCAAGCUGUUGGCGUGAAUGCCGUAUUGUCUUCCCUUUUCCCUCCGGUGGGUGGAAGGAGGGGGUCGCACCAUGCGUUGCUCUGCCUACACCUUUCUCCUGUUCUGGAACGAACAGUGCGUACCGUCCUACUGAUCAUUGCCCACUGUUGAGACUUGCGCACGCAUCCGCUUCAGCACCGCCACCGCCAUCCACGCAAAUGACGGAACGAGUUGUUGUGCGCUUGUUCCGUCCUACACAUGCACGCGCUGCGCAGUGCAGAGUCCAGCGUGCGGGUAUGUUUCUGCGCGUGCACUGCUGCGCAUUCCUUGUUGUGUGUCUCAGUGCUCCGCCUCCCGCCUUGCUGCUUCGGUCAUACUUACGUGCGCUGUCUUCCCUCUCCAUCCGUGCCGCCUCUCUCCAUCGCUUCUUCUCUUGGGCGUACGCGCCCACUGUAUAUGCAUGCUCCCUCCCCCUUCGCCCGCACCUGGUGAUACGCGUGCGCGUGCGCAUCUCCGUCCGUCUGACGCUCCCUUCCGCCCUCCCUCACUUCACUAGUCGUCGCGCUUUGGGCCUUUCGCCCAUCCGUGGCGGUGCCGCGUUUAUCGCUCACGCGUUGCCCCCCGCGUGUGCUUCUCU
rnacentral:misc_RNA from 1 species